GGGUUGUGAGGUUAAGCGACUAAGCGUACACGGUGGAUGCCCUGGCAGUCAGAGGCGAUGAAGGACGUGCUAAUCUGCGAAAAGCGUCGGUAAGGUGAUAUGAACCGUUAUAACCGGCGAUGUCCGAAUGGGGAAACCCAGUGCAAUUCGUUGCACUAUCGUUAACUGAAUACAUAGGUUAACGAGGCGAACCGGGGGAACUGAAACAUCUAAGUACCCCGAGGAAAAGAAAUCAACCGAGAUUCCCCCAGUAGCGGCGAGCGAACGGGGAGCAGCCCAGAGUCUGAAUCAGCUUGUGUGUUAGUGGAACGGUCUGGAAAGUCCGACGGUACAGGGUGAUAGUCCCGUACACCAAAAUGCACAGGUUGUGAACUCGAAGAGUAGGGCGGGACACGUGGUAUCCUGUCUGAAUAUGGGGGGACCAUCCUCCAAGGCUAAAUACUCCUGACUGACCGAUAGUGAACCAGUACCGUGAGGGAAAGGCGAAAAGAACCCCGGCGAGGGGAGUGAAAAAGAACCUGAAACCGUGUACGUACAAGCAGUGGGAGCACCUUCGGGUGUGACUGCGUACCUUUUGUAUAAUGGGUCAGCGACUUAUAUUCUGUAGCAAGGUUAACCGUAUAGGGGAGCCGCAGGGAAACCGAGUCUUAACUGGGCGUUAAGUUGCAGGGUAUAGACCCGAAACCCGGUGAUCUAGCCAUGGGCAGGUUGAAGGUUGGGUAACACUAACUGGAGGACCGAACCGACUAAUGUUGAAAAAUUAGCGGAUGACUUGUGGCUGGGGGUGAAAGGCCAAUCAAACCGGGAGAUAGCUGGUUCUCCCCGAAAGCUAUUUAGGUAGCGCCUCGUGAAUUCAUCUUCGGGGGUAGAGCACUGUUUCGGCUAGGGGGUCAUCCCGACUUACCAACCCGAUGCAAACUACGAAUACCGAAGAAUGUUAUCACGGGAGACACACGGCGGGUGCUAACGUCCGUCGUGAAGAGGGAAACAACCCAGACCGCCAGCUAAGGUCCCAAAGUCAUGGUUAAGUGGGAAACGAUGUGGGAAGGCACAGACAGCCAGGAUGUUGGCUUAGAAGCAGCCAUCAUUUAAAGAAAGCGUAAUAGCUCACUGGUCGAGUCGGCCUGCGCGGAAGAUGUAACGGGGCUAAACCAUGCACCGAAGCUGCGGCAGCGACACUAUGUGUUGUUGGGUAGGGGAGCGUUCUGUAAGCCUGCGAAGGUGACCUGUGAGGGUUGCUGGAGGUAUCAGAAGUGCGAAUGCUGACAUAAGUAACGAUAAAGCGGGUGAAAAGCCCGCUCGCCGGAAGACCAAGGGUUCCUGUCCAACGUUAAUCGGGGCAGGGUGAGUCGACCCCUAAGGCGAGGCCGAAAGGCGUAGUCGAUGGGAAACAGGUUAAUAUUCCUGUACUUGGUGUUACUGCGAAGGGGGGACGGAGAAGGCUAUGUUAGCCGGGCGACGGUUGUCCCGGUUUAAGCAUGUAGGCUGGUUGUCCAGGCAAAUCCGGAUAAUCAAGGCUGAGGUGUGAUGACGAGGCACUACGGUGCUGAAGUAACAAAUGCCCUGCUUCCAGGAAAAGCCUCUAAGCAUCAGGUAACAUCAAAUCGUACCCCAAACCGACACAGGUGGUCAGGUAGAGAAUACCAAGGCGCUUGAGAGAACUCGGGUGAAGGAACUAGGCAAAAUGGUGCCGUAACUUCGGGAGAAGGCACGCUGGUGUGUAGGUGAAGUCCCUGCGGAUGGAGCUGAGACCAGUCGAAGAUACCAGCUGGCUGCAACUGUUUAUUAAAAACACAGCACUGUGCAAACACGAAAGUGGACGUAUACGGUGUGACGCCUGCCCGGUGCCGGAAGGUUAAUUGAUGGGGUUAUCCGUAAGGAGAAGCUCUUGAUCGAAGCCCCGGUAAACGGCGGCCGUAACUAUAACGGUCCUAAGGUAGCGAAAUUCCUUGUCGGGUAAGUUCCGACCUGCACGAAUGGCGUAAUGAUGGCCAGGCUGUCUCCACCCGAGACUCAGUGAAAUUGAACUCGCUGUGAAGAUGCAGUGUACCCGCGGCAAGACGGAAAGACCCCGUGAACCUUUACUAUAGCUUGACACUGAACAUUGAGCCUUGAUGUGUAGGAUAGGUGGGAGGCUUUGAAGCGUGGACGCCAGUCUGCGUGGAGCCAACCUUGAAAUACCACCCUUUAAUGUUUGAUGUUCUAACGUUGGCCCCUGACCGGGGUUGCGGACAGUGUCUGGUGGGUAGUUUGACUGGGGCGGUCUCCUCCCAAAGCGUAACGGAGGAGCACGAAGGUUAGCUAAUCCUGGUCGGACAUCAGGAGGUUAGUGCAAUGGCAUAAGCUAGCUUGACUGCGAGCGUGACGGCGCGAGCAGGUGCGAAAGCAGGUCAUAGUGAUCCGGUGGUUCUGAAUGGAAGGGCCAUCGCUCAACGGAUAAAAGGUACUCCGGGGAUAACAGGCUGAUACCGCCCAAGAGUUCAUAUCGACGGCGGUGUUUGGCACCUCGAUGUCGGCUCAUCACAUCCUGGGGCUGAAGUAGGUCCCAAGGGUAUGGCUGUUCGCCAUUUAAAGUGGUACGCGAGCUGGGUUUAGAACGUCGUGAGACAGUUCGGUCCCUAUCUGCCGUGGGCGCUGGAGAAUUGAGGGGGGCUGCUCCUAGUACGAGAGGACCGGAGUGGACGCAUCACUGGUGUUCGGGUUGUCAUGCCAAUGGCACUGCCCGGUAGCUAAAUGCGGAAGAGAUAAGUGCUGAAAGCAUCUAAGCACGAAACUUGCCCCGAGAUGAGUUCUCCCUGAGACUUUAAGUCUCCUGAAGGAACGUUAAAGACGAUGACGUUGAUAGGCCGGGUGUGUAAGCGCAGCGAUGCGUUGAGCUAACCGGUACUAAUGAACCGUGAGGCUUAACCUUACAACGCCGAAG
rnacentral:rRNA from 1 species